UACGGAGGGUGCGAGCGUUAAUCGGAAUUACUGGGCGUAAAGCGCGCGUAGGUGGCCCGCUAAGUCACACGUGAAAUCCCUCAGCUUAACUGGGGAACUGCGUGUGAGACUGGCAGGCUUGAGUGCAGGAGAGGAACGCGGAAUUCCAGGUGUAGCGGUGAAAUGCGUAGAUAUCUGGAGGAACACCGGUGGCGAAGGCGGCGUUCUGGACUGUAUCUGACACUGAGGAACGAAAGCCAGGGGAGCAAACGGG
rnacentral:rRNA from 1 species